rnacentral:rRNA from 1 species
GACGAACGCUGGCGGCGUGCUUAACACAUGCAAGUCGAACGGAAAGGCCCUGCUUUUGUGGGGUGCUCGAGUGGCGAACGGGUGAGUAACACGUGAGUAACCUGCCCUUGACUUUGGGAUAACUUCAGGAAACUGGGGCUAAUACCGGAUAGGAGCUCCUGCUGCAUGGUGGGGGUUGGAAAGUUUCGGCGGUUGGGGAUGGACUCGCGGCUUAUCAGCUUGUUGGUGGGGUAGUGGCUUACCAAGGCUUUGACGGGUAGCCGGCCUGAGAGGGUGACCGGCCACAUUGGGACUGAGAUACGGCACAGACUCCUACGGGAGGCAGCAGUGGGGAAUAUUGCACAAUGGGCGGAAGCCUGAUGCGGCAACGCCGCGUGCGGGAUGACGGCCUUCGGGUUGUAAACCGCUUUCGCCUGUGACGAAGCGUGAGUGACGGUAAUGGGUAAAGAAGCACCGGCUAACUACGUG